AGGUUGAAUUGUCCAAGACCAAGGUCCAGCAUGAUUGCGAGGAGCCCUGGCUCACAGAUUUCUUGUGUCCUUACGUGGUGGCAGGAGCAUCACCCCUUGCUGCAAUCCAGGGACUUAAUCUGGGGCUUAAUGGAAGAAAUCGUGAUCCGUUUUGGUGUUGAAAGGAACCUGGCUGAUUCGGGUUUUACUGAGAGAUUGUAUUUGUAGACUGUACCUAAUGGGCAAUUAAAGGCUUUGUGAAGAUAA